rnacentral:rRNA from 1 species
UACGAAGGGUGCAAGCGUUACUCGGAAUUACUGGGCGUAAAGCGUGCGUAGGUGGUUUGUUAAGUCUGUUGUGAAAGCCCCGGGCUCAACCUGGGAAUGGCAAUGGAUACUGGCAGGCUAGAGUGCGGUAGAGGGUAGUGGAAUUCCCAGUGUAGAGGUGAAAUUCGUAGAUAUUGGGAAGAACACCGGUGGCGAAGGCGGCGCUCUGGACCAGCACUGACACUGAGGCACGAAAGCGUGGGGAGCAAACAGG